GACGGUUUGGCCGAGUGGUCUAAGGCGCCAGAUUUAGGCUCUGGUCCGAAAGGGCGGGUUCAAAUCCCACAGCCGUCA
rnacentral:tRNA from 1 species